UUCCCUUUCGCCACUUCGGCGCCCUCUUCGCCCUUCCUUAGGUCUUUACUUUCCCUCUGUUCUAUUUCUGUCUCGGUCAUCUUCAUCGUCGAGGAUUUGGCACAAAAAUCGUACGACGCAGAGGCUCGGGAGCUGUUGCUUCGUUGUCCUUUUGUUCUUCAUCUGAUUCCAUUUGCCUUUCUGCAACUAGCCAAGAUGAGCUUUGAAGCUAUUCAUAUUAAUAUAGCAUUUAGAUGAAUUCUAGCGUUUCAGAAAUAGAUUUCUGACUAUUUGGGAAAAUAGUUGUUUAUUGUCUCAGAUAUUGAUUGCUUGUUCAAGCUACCGUUGAUUGGAGACUCAAAAGUACGAAGAAUAGUCUGUUGCUCGCUGUGCUUCAGUUGGCUUUGAAGAUCUUUCUUCUACCACUGGUAAAUUUUGCCUCUCCUGCCGUAAACUUUUGUUGCUAAGUGUUAAAUCUCAAACAUUAUCGUGUUGGAUAAGAUGAAUUUUUACCAUUUGAUUCAAGCUAGCAAAGGCUGCUCAAAUUGGUUCAUUUAAGAUGGUUUAUGCUUGAGUCUGCCAUAAAUCAGAGAGUUCCUUUGUGAAGUUUGCUAGAAAUUUUGUAUUUCCACAUGUUCAAUCAAAAUUCAUUUGAAUAUCAUCACAAGGCAAUACCUUCUUUGGGAAAUUAAAUCAUCACAAAGGAUUGGACUAAAAAUAUUUAAUAAUAUUACUAAGGAAAUAUGCGCACUGGCUAAAUCUUGGGCGGAAAUUCGCUAUUUUGCAGGCAUUGCUUUGUCUUUUUUUGCUCCUACAAUGAUCAUAAAAAAAUUAAUGAAAUACUGGUGUCAAUAAUACGAUCAUGUGGUUGAGCCCGAUAUUGAAACAUGGACGAAUACUCUGUGAAUCAUAUGGUAAGAAGGAAUCCGGUGUCAUUGGAAUGAGUCUUGUGGUGAAUCAACACUAACAAUGAAACUAAGUUAAGCUCUUGCUGGAUCAAAUUUUGCUAUAUUUUUUCAAGUGUGAUGAUGAAGCAAUAAGAUGGCUACAUUAGAAAUUUUAUAUAUCCAGCACUUUGUUUAAUCUAAAACUGUAGUCUCCUGAUAUGGAAUUUGAUAAUCAUCUGCUAAACGUCCUAUAAAGAUUAUAC
rnacentral:lncRNA from 1 species